rnacentral:pre_miRNA from 1 species
UCCCACUGCAAGUAUAUUUUAACACCGUUUAUAUUUGAUCAUUUGUCUUAUUUAAAAAUUAUGAUUAGUAUUUUUAUUGUUAUUAGAUUAUAAAACAUGAAUAGUACUUUAUGUGUGCCUAUUUUCUGAUUCUUUUCUCAUAAUUUUUUUAAAUAAACGAACGAUCAAAUCUUAGACACAUAAAUUCACAACUGUAGUUAUA